rnacentral:rRNA from 1 species
GGGUUGUGAGGUUAAGCGACUAAGCGUACACGGUGGAUGCCCUGGCAGUCAGAGGCGAUGAAGGACGUGCUAAUCUGCGAUAAGCGUCGGUAAGGUGAUAUGAACCGUUAUAACCGGCGAUUUCCGAAUGGGGAAACCCAGUGUGAUUCGUCACACUAUCAUUAACUGAAUCCAUAGGUUAAUGAGGCGAACCGGGGGAACUGAAACAUCUAAGUACCCCGAGGAAAAGAAAUCAACCGAGAUUCCCCCAGUAGCGGCGAGCGAACGGGGAGCAGCCCAGAGCCUGAAUCAGUGUGUGUGUUAGUGGAAGCGUCUGGAAAGGCGCGCGAUACAGGGUGACAGCCCCGUACACAAAAAUGCACAUACUGUGAGCUCGAUGAGUAGGGCGGGACACGUGGUAUCCUGUCUGAAUAUGGGGGGACCAUCCUCCAAGGCUAAAUACUCCUGACUGACCGAUAGUGAACCAGUACCGUGAGGGAAAGGCGAAAAGAACCCCGGCGAGGGGAGUGAAAAAGAACCUGAAACCGUGUACGUACAAGCAGUGGGAGCCUCUUAAUGGGGUGACUGCGUACCUUUUGUAUAAUGGGUCAGCGACUUAUAUUCUGUAGCAAGGUUAACCGAAUAGGGGAGCCGAAGGGAAACCGAGUCUUAACUGGGCGUUAAGUUGCAGGGUAUAGACCCGAAACCCGGUGAUCUAGCCAUGGGCAGGUUGAAGGUUGGGUAACACUAACUGGAGGACCGAACCGACUAAUGUUGAAAAAUUAGCGGAUGACUUGUGGCUGGGGGUGAAAGGCCAAUCAAACCGGGAGAUAGCUGGUUCUCCCCGAAAGCUAUUUAGGUAGCGCCUCGUGAAUUCAUCUCCGGGGGUAGAGCACUGUUUCGGCAAGGGGGUCAUCCCGACUUACCAACCCGAUGCAAACUGCGAAUACCGGAGAAUGUUAUCACGGGAGACACACGGCGGGUGCUAACGUCCGUCGUGAAGAGGGAAACAACCCAGACCGCCAGCUAAGGUCCCAAAGUCAUGGUUAAGUGGGAAACGAUGUGGGAAGGCCCAGACAGCCAGGAUGUUGGCUUAGAAGCAGCCAUCAUUUAAAGAAAGCGUAAUAGCUCACUGGUCGAGUCGGCCUGCGCGGAAGAUGUAACGGGGCUAAACCAUGCACCGAAGCUGCGGCAGCGACGCUUAUGCGUUGUUGGGUAGGGGAGCGUUCUGUAAGCCUGCGAAGGUGUGCUGUGAGGCAUGCUGGAGGUAUCAGAAGUGCGAAUGCUGACAUAAGUAACGAUAAAGCGGGUGAAAAGCCCGCUCGCCGGAAGACCAAGGGUUCCUGUCCAACGUUAAUCGGGGCAGGGUGAGUCGACCCCUAAGGCGAGGCCGAAAGGCGUAGUCGAUGGGAAACAGGUUAAUAUUCCUGUACUUGGUGUUACUGCGAAGGGGGGACGGAGAAGGCUAUGUUGGCCGGGCGACGGUUGUCCCGGUUUAAGCGUGUAGGCUGGUUUUCCAGGCAAAUCCGGAAAAUCAAGGCUGAGGCGUGAUGACGAGGCACUACGGUGCUGAAGCAACAAAUGCCCUGCUUCCAGGAAAAGCCUCUAAGCAUCAGGUAACAUCAAAUCGUACCCCAAACCGACACAGGUGGUCAGGUAGAGAAUACCAAGGCGCUUGAGAGAACUCGGGUGAAGGAACUAGGCAAAAUGGUGCCGUAACUUCGGGAGAAGGCACGCUGAUAUGUAGGUGAAGCGACUUGCUCGUGGAGCUGAAAUCAGUCGAAGAUACCAGCUGGCUGCAACUGUUUAUUAAAAACACAGCACUGUGCAAACACGAAAGUGGACGUAUACGGUGUGACGCCUGCCCGGUGCCGGAAGGUUAAUUGAUGGGGUUAGCGGUAACGCGAAGCUCUUGAUCGAAGCCCCGGUAAACGGCGGCCGUAACUAUAACGGUCCUAAGGUAGCGAAAUUCCUUGUCGGGUAAGUUCCGACCUGCACGAAUGGCGUAAUGAUGGCCAGGCUGUCUCCACCCGAGACUCAGUGAAAUUGAACUCGCUGUGAAGAUGCAGUGUACCCGCGGCAAGACGGAAAGACCCCGUGAACCUUUACUAUAGCUUGACACUGAACAUUGAGCCUUGAUGUGUAGGAUAGGUGGGAGGCUUUGAAGUGUGGACGCCAGUCUGCAUGGAGCCGACCUUGAAAUACCACCCUUUAAUGUUUGAUGUUCUAACGUUGGCCCCUAAUCGGGGUUGCGGACAGUGUCUGGUGGGUAGUUUGACUGGGGCGGUCUCCUCCUAAAGAGUAACGGAGGAGCACGAAGGUUGGCUAAUCCUGGUCGGACAUCAGGAGGUUAGUGCAAUGGCAUAAGCCAGCUUGACUGCGAGCGUGACGGCGCGAGCAGGUGCGAAAGCAGGUCAUAGUGAUCCGGUGGUUCUGAAUGGAAGGGCCAUCGCUCAACGGAUAAAAGGUACUCCGGGGAUAACAGGCUGAUACCGCCCAAGAGUUCAUAUCGACGGCGGUGUUUGGCACCUCGAUGUCGGCUCAUCACAUCCUGGGGCUGAAGUAGGUCCCAAGGGUAUGGCUGUUCGCCAUUUAAAGUGGUACGCGAGCUGGGUUUAGAACGUCGUGAGACAGUUCGGUCCCUAUCUGCCGUGGGCGCUGGAGAACUGAGGGGGGCUGCUCCUAGUACGAGAGGACCGGAGUGGACGCAUCACUGGUGUUCGGGUUGUCAUGCCAAUGGCACUGCCCGGUAGCUAAAUGCGGAAGAGAUAAGUGCUGAAAGCAUCUAAGCACGAAACUUGCCCCGAGAUGAGUUCUCCCUGACUCCCUGAGAGUCCUGAAGGAACGUUGAAGACGACGACGUUGAUAGGCCGGGUGUGUAAGCGCAGCGAUGCGUUGAGCUAACCGGUACUAAUGAACCGUGAGGCUUAACCUUACAACGCCGAAG